CUGAGUAGGAUGAAGCCGGAGGAAACUCUGGUGGAGGUCCGAAGCGUUUUUGACGUGCAAAUCAAUCGUCAGACUUGGGUAUAGGGGCGAAAGACUAAUCGAACCAUCUAGUAGCUGGUUCCCUUCGAAGUUUCCCCCAGGAAAGCUGGUGCCAUGUUUGACAGUUUUAUCUGGUAAAGCGAAUGAUUAGAGGCAUUGGGGACGAAUUGUCCUCGACCUAUUCUCAAACUUUAAAUGGGUAAUGUACCGUUGUACUUCUUGAUAUUCAUGAGUGCUCGGUCAAAUGCAAUGGCACCAAGUGGGCCAUUUUUGGUAAGCAGAACUGGCGAUGUGGGAUGAACCAAACGUUGAGCUAGGAUGCCCAAAGUGCUUCUCAUGAGAUACCAUGAAAGGUGUCAGUCGAUAUUGACAGCAGGACGGUGGCCGCAGAAGUAGGAAUCCGCUAAGGAGUGUGUAACAACUCACCUGCCGAAUCGACUGGUCCUGAAAAUGGAUGGCGCUGGAGACGUAUAUCCAUGCUCGACCGUCAAUGCCAACGAAAGCGAUUGCUAUAUGGCUUGACGUGUAGAAGGGCGAUUGCCGUGGCGUCGAAACUUGCACCGUGAGGUGGGGUAGAGCUGCGGCAUGUGCAGAUCUUGGUGGUAGUAGCAAGUAUUCAAAUGAGAGCAUUGAAGACUGAAGUGGAGUAAGGUUCCAUGUGAACAGCAUUUGGACAUGGAUCAGCCGAUCCUAAGAGAACGUGUAAGUUCGUGAUUAAGCGCGUCGCCUUGUGCGUCGCAAUCGAAAGGGAAUCGGGUUAAUAUUCCCGAGCCAGGAUACGGAAUGUGCCUGAUUAUUCGGAAGUACCUUGUGUGCUUUCGACUUCAGGCAAAAGCGGCAACGCCAACAAACCCAGAGAUUAACUAUGCGGAGUCCGGGGAAGAGUUUUCUCUUCUUUGUAAGGGAUGUUAUCCCUGGAAACAGAUUGUCUGGCGAUAGGGUACGCAUCCCGUAAUGCAACGCGAUUCCUGCGAUGUACCGUGCGCUUCGUAUAGUGCUUGAAAAUCUGGGGGCGAGUUUGUUCAGGCCGUACCUGUUCGUACUGAUUUCCGCAGCAGGUCUCCAAGGUGAGCAGCCUCUAGUCGAUGGGACAAAGUAGACAAGGGAAGUCGGCAAAUUAGAUCCGUAACUUCGGAAAAAGGAUUGGCUCUAAAGGCUGAGUUGGUCGGGCGGUUGCGUGAAGCUGGGAGCGACGCUUUGACUCUGUCUCAGACUCCGUUCUCGCAAGGGAUGCGGAAUCGAGGACGGAACUUUGUCUACGCUCUCUGUGGACCGCGGUCGCUAUGCCACCCGUGCGGUAUCUAAACGUAAGUCUCGAGCCGUGCGACGUGGAUCCGAUCAGCGUUUAACAGCUGACCUAGAACUGGUAUGGACAAGGGGAAUCCAACUGUUUAAUUAAAACAAAGCAUUGCGAUAGCUGUAAUCGGUGUUGACGCGAUGUGAUUUCUGCCCAGUGCUCUGAAUGUUAAAGUGAAGGAACUCAUCCAAGCGCGAGUUAACGGCGGAAGUAACUAUGACUUUCUUAAGGUAGCCAAAUGCCUCGUCAUCUAAUUAGUGACGUGCAUGAAUGGAUUAUUGAGAUUCCUUCUGUCCCUGUCUGCAACCUAGCGAAACCACAGCCAAGGGAACGGGCUUGGAGAGUAACAGCGGGGAAAGAAGACCCUGUUGAGCUUGACUCUAGUCAGUCUUUGUGAAGAAACAUGAUGGGUGUAGAAUAGGUGGGAGGACGCGACAGUGAAAUACCACUACUAUCAUCGUUUCUUUACUUACUCAAUUGAUCAGGGAGCGUGAAUUCGCUAUUUGCGAUGUAUGAUUAUUCCUCUAGUGGAAUAAGUGUCUGGUUUGAGAACACAGACUGAUUGGGAGUUUGACUGGGGCGGUACAUCUGUUAAAAUCUAACGCAGGUGUCCUAAGGCAAUCUCAGCGUGGACAGAAACCUCGCAUAGAGCGAAAGGGCAAAAGAUUGCUUGAUCUUGAUUUUCAGUACGAAUAAAGA
rnacentral:rRNA from 1 species